rnacentral:lncRNA from 1 species
UAGUUUGCUCUAAGUGGCGAAAUACCGUGAGUGCAAAGUGCGUUGGGACGUGACGACGUGUUUUUCUUACCUUUCGAACGAGGGGGUGAAAAAAUGUACAAUUUUUCCAGGAACGCAGAAAUUUAGAAGUGCAAACGUAGAGGGAUCGGAGAUGAGGAGAAUUGAAAUAUACAUACAUAGAAGACAUAAAAUAAACCUUCCUAUAUACCCAAGCUCGUUUUCUACGUACUUAUAUGUACGUCCCGACAGCGUGGAACGCGAAAUAAGAAUCAGUCACGAAUACACGAUUUCGACCACAAGCUGUAUAGAACGAGGAACGAAUUAUGGAAAGGGAGAAGAAGAAAUGGAGUAGAGAAAGAAAGAAGGAAGAUAAUAAAAAAUGUGUGCUACAGCGGGUGAAAACACGACAGACAAAAAAAAAAAAAAAAAUAAAAAAAAUUUAAGAGAGAAAUAACGUAAACGAAAUUUAAAGGUCCUCACGAGUCAUUUACGGAAAUUCGUUAGUUUUUCUUUUCCUUGUUUGUCCUAUUUUCAUUUCAUUAUAGUAUAGAUACUCGUGCUUGUAGUAAGGAAAUCAAUCAGCGAAUGGAUAAUCGAUACGCAAGAAAGGCAUCGAAUUGUGGUGAAAUUUGCACGAGAUGUACGACACAAGCUCGGUUCGACCGAACGAAGAUAGUGCAGCAAAACACUGUCCCUCACGAUCGCCAAUUACUCACCACCAUCGGGUUCCACCCUGUAUACCGAGGGAUUAUACCGCCGAUAUUGAGGAUUUGCAAACCCCCGAAACGACGCCCGAGGUCCAGCUUAUUACACGCCACUGGCCUCGUUCUCUCCGUAGAGACGAGCUCGCCAAUCCUCUUGUGUAAUUCAAGAACUUGGUGAAAAAACGAACCGAACACAGGGUGAAUUGGACUCACCGGGGCUGAUAUUCUCGAAUCGAAAUCCGGGAUAAACAACCGUCCUAUCGUUAGUCGAUGCUUUUUGGAAACCCUUCGAGUCACGCAUUGUUCCGCCGAGUCAACUUUUGUAACAAGAUGGUAUUCUCUGGUUUUUCGGCUCGCUGAUUACGAAUUUUGAAACGAAUUUUGAAAAUUCAAAAAUGGUGGAUUCGAUAUGGUCGACGAAAAUUUCAAAUUUCAUCGAAU